GCUUCUCUGAUGUUAUCGGCGGACGGGUGAGUAACACGCGCGAUAAUCUACCUAUAAGACUGGGAUAACUUCGAGGAAACCGGAGCUAAUACCGGGAUAAUAUUUUGAACCGCAUGGUUCAAAAGUGAAAGACGGUCUUGCUGUCACUUAUAGAUGGAUCCGCGCUGCAUUAGCUAGUUGGUAAGGUAACGGCUUACCAAGGCUACGAUGCAUAGCCGACCUGAGAGGGUGAUCGGCCACACUGGAACUGACACGCGGUCCAAACUCCUACGGGAGGCAGCAGUAGGGAAUCUUCCGCAAUGGGCGAAAGCCUGACGGAGCAACGCCGCGUGAACUGAUGAAUGUCUUCGGAUCGUAAAACUCUGUUAUUAGGGAAGAACAUAUGUGUAAGUAACUGUGCACAUCUUCGACGGUACCUAAUCAGAAAGCCACGGCUAACUACGUGCCAGCAGCCGCGGUAAUACGUAGGUGGCAAGCGUUAUCCGGAAUUAUUGGGCGUAAAGCGCGCGUACGCGGUUUUUUAAGUCUGAUGUGAAAGCCCACGGGCUCAACCGUGGAGGGUCAUUGGAAACUGGAAAACUUGAGUGCAGAAGAGGAAAGUGGAAUUCCAUGUGUAGCGGGUGAAAUGCGCAGAGAUAUGGGAGGAACACCAGUGGCGAAAGCGACUUUCUGGUCU
rnacentral:rRNA from 1 species